ACCAGACUCCUACGGGAGGCAGCAGUGAGGAAUAUUGGUCAAUGGGCGAGAGCCUGAACCAGCCAAGUCGCGUGAAGGAUGACGGCCCUACGGGUUGUAAACUUCUUUUGUCAGGGAGCAAUUGGCGCUACGUGUAGCGUUAUCGAGAGUACCUGAAGAAAAAGCAUCGGCUAACUCCGUGCCAGCAGCCGCGGUAAUACGGAGGAUGCGAGCGUUAUCCGGAUUUAUUGGGUUUAAAGGGUGCGUAGGCGGGCAUUUAAGCCGGCGGUCAAAUGUCGGGGCUCAACCCCGGCCUGCCGUCGGAACUGGGUGCCUUGAGUGGGCGAGAAGUAUGCGGAAUGCGUGGUGUAGCGGUGAAAUGCAUAGAUAUCACGCAGAACUCCGAUUGCGAAGGCAGCAUACCGGCGCCCAACUGACGCUGAAGAACGAAAGCGUGGGUAUCGAACAGGAUUAGAUACCCGCGUACG
rnacentral:rRNA from 1 species